rnacentral:lncRNA from 1 species
AGCGGCACCCCAUGCAGAGCCACUUCUGGCCACAAGAGGGGGGAAAGGAGCCUCUGCUGGUGGCCGUAAACUAACCAGACCGGUUUGCCUGCUUUUUGUAGAAGAGGAGGGUGAUGAAGAUGCUCAGGUCAUAGAAGAGGAGGAGGAGGAAGAUGAGGAGGAAGAGGGAGAAGAGGAGGAUGUAAGCGGGGAAGAGGAGGUAAGAAUCUUGUUGGAUGGGGGGAAGUAAAAUGGCAGUCAUGCAUCUGAGACAAGGCUGGCGGGAUCUCGGAUGCUCCCCCCCAUCCACACUGUGGUGGUGAUUUUUGGCCGUUUAGAAUUAAGUUCUAGUUAAAAUCAGCACAUUAGAAUUAAAGUUCUGAUUUCUGAAAGGCUUUGUGAGUUUGGAAAAGUUCUGGGCAAGAGUAAAGUGUGCCAUUCCUUUCUUGGUGGCUCUGUCCAGGAGGAUGAAGAAGGCUAUAACGACAGGGAAGUAGAUGACGAAGAAGAGGAGGAUGAAGAAGCCGAGGAAGAGCGGGGCGAGAAGAGAAAACGAGAGGCUGAUGACGAGGAAGGCGAUGAAGACGACUGAAGUGGCUAUACUCUAUCUCGGGGUCGGGGGACAAAUUUCCUAUUGUGAUUUGACUGUUCCUAUCCUGUAUUUCACCCCCUCCCCUCCCGUUGCUGUGGGGUUGAGAAGGAAGUGGAUAGUUGUGCGGGUGAGGGAAUUUAAUCUUUUUUUAAGAACUGCCACUCCUGCUUUUGUUUCUGAAGAAUUUCCUUUUGUGUCUGUUAUUAGUUCCUGUCAAUGCAAUAGCAAAUAUAAAGCAAGUGGUGGAUUUGUUUUUAUUUUUAUUUUUUUCUUGGAGUGGAACAUCUAUACACUUUGGGUUUUUUAAGGAAAGUUUUUUUUAAAGGUUUGAGCAAGAAGAUUUCCAUGUGAUACAAAGGGGGCAGGAAUGGAGAUGGUGGUGAGAUCUUUUUGGGUCCGUAGAAUCAGUGGCUUUUGCCAGUCUCUGAGCAUAUUGUAAGUAUUUUUUUUCUUCUCUUCUGGAUGCAGCAAAGUUUGCCGUGAAAGCAUUCCAGCCAGAGCAGUGAAGUGCAAACAGCAUCUUGAUAACGUGUUUUCUUUGUUGCCUGUUUGUGAAUGACUGCUGUUCCCAGAAACCGUUUCUCUCCAUUUCCCGUAGGUAACUUUUUACUUUGUCGUUUGUAAAUAGUGACCAAAUACGUAAUUUCCCUCCCCUUCUUUCUUUUUUAUUUGGUUUGUGGGGUUGAUUUUCAUUUUUUUAUUUUGUUUUCUCUGUAAAACCCUUUUGGAGCUUGGCCCACCCAGAGGGUCUCCACAAAGCGGGGGGGAUGCAUGGGCAGGACAGCUCAUGUUCCCGGGGGGGGGGGGGGGCGCAGCCUCUGUGGAAAAGUUCUCUGUAAACGGCAGUUAUUAAAAUAUCUAUAAAUAUAUAUAAAAAGUGUUCCUAAUUUCCUGAGUUAACUGGUGAAAUGAAUUUGACAGUUGUAAUAAAAAAAGAAAAUGUUUGAACCCUUUUAAUUAAGGUGUGUACUAUUUUGGUCUGUAAAAUAUUAUAUAUAUAAAUAUAUUAACACCUCCUUGAUAUUAAGUGACAAGAAUCUGUUUCCAUGUGUGCGUUACACUACCCUGGAGAUUUUUGCAAACCUUUUGAACAGCAGAGGGGACGAUGUGUGUCUGGCCCGGGAUGCUUUCUUUUCAUACACUCAAGCACGGAAUGCGGAUACAAAAGAUGUAUUUUCUUACCUAUUUGCAAGUCAGUAAACCGGCUGCAAAGUACCUAGGUGAAUGUACAGUUUUAAUUUCAUAUCCUUUUAAAAAAACAUUAGAAGUGACUUGUAUUUCCUAGUCAGUAUCUCCUCUGUGUAUAAAAUUUUUUAAAAAAACAUCACAAUCUUCCCUCUCACUCCCCAAAGAGUAAAACUUUUUGAGUUUUAUGUCUUGUUUGUCAAUGAUGAAUUUCAAUAAACCUUUUUUAUACAAUUUUUUUCCUGUGGCUUAUUGGAGU